AUUGAACGCUGGCGGCAUGCCUUACACAUGCAAGUCGAACGGCAGCGCGGACUUCGGUCUGGCGGCGAGUGGCGAACGGGUGAGUAAUACAUCGGAACGUACCCUGUUGUGGGGGAUAACUAGUCGAAAGAUUAGCUAAUACCGCAUACGACCUGAGGGUGAAAGUGGGGAACCGCAAGGCCUCACGCAGCAGGAGCGGCCGAUGUCUGAUUAGCUAGUUGGUGGGGUAAAGGCCCACCAAGGCGACGAUCAGUAGCUAGUCUGAGAGGACGAUCAGCCACACUGGGACUGAGACACGGCCCAGACUCCUACGGGAGGCAGCAGUGGGGAAUUUUGGACAAUGGGGGCAACCCUGAUCCAGCAAUGCCGCGUGUGUGAAGAAGGCCUUCGGGUUGUAAAGCACUUUUGUCCGGAAAGAAAUCGCGCUGGUUAAUACCUGGCGUGGAUGACGGUACCGGAAGAAUAAGCACCGGCUAACUACGUG
rnacentral:rRNA from 1 species